rnacentral:rRNA from 1 species
UACAGAGGGUGCGAGCGUUAAUCGGAAUUACUGGGCGUAAAGGGUGCGUAGGUGGUUAGUUAAGUUGGAUGUGAAAGCCCUGGGCUUAACCUAGGAAUUGCAUUCAAUACUGAUUGACUAGAGUCGGGUAGAGGGAGGUGGAAUUUCCGGUGUAGCGGUGAAAUGCGUAGAUAUCAGGAGGAACACCGGUGGUGUAGACGGCUCACUGGACCGUAACUGACGCUGAGACACGAAAGCGUGGGUAGCAAACAGG